AUUAGAUACAUCCAUCUUGUAUAUACUGGCCCACUUAGUCUAGUCUCAUAUGGAAGAUGAAUUGAAAGAUACACCAUGAUAUCAAAGAAGACGGGAGAAAAUAUCAUCUCGAGCUUACAGAGAGUAAUGAUAAUCUUCUUCUCUAAUAUGUCGAUCUGACUUUGCCUCAACAUCUUCGCACAUAAGUUUCAAAAAUAAGUUCCCAGAUCAAGUAAUGUAUCGCAUAUAUUAUCCGACAACAAUCCAUACAAACCAAC
rnacentral:lncRNA from 1 species